CCUACGGGUGGCUGCAGUGAGGAAUAUUGGUCAAUGGGCGUGAGCCUGAACCAGCCAAGUAGCGUGCAGGAAGACGGCCCUAUGGGUUGUAAACUGCUUUUAUGCGGGGAUAAAGGAGUCCACGUGUGGAUUUUUGCAGGUACCGCAUGAAUAAGGACCGGCUAAUUCCGUGCCAGCAGCCGCGGUAAUACGGAAGGUCCGGGCGUUAUCCGGAUUUAUUGGGUUUAAAGGGAGCGUAGGCCGCGUUUUAAGCGUGUUGUGAAAUGUAGACGCCCAACGUCUGCAUCGCAGCGCGAACUGGGACGCUUGAGUACGCGCAACGUUGGCGGAAUUCGUCGUGUAGCGGUGAAAUGCUUAGAUAUGACGAGGAACUCCGAUUGCGAAGGCAGCUGACGGGAGCGGCACUGACGCUUAAGCUCGAAGGUGCGGGUAUCAAACAGGAUUAGAUACCGGAGUAGU
rnacentral:rRNA from 1 species